rnacentral:rRNA from 1 species
GACGAACGCUGGCGGCGUGCUUAACACAUGCAAGUCGAACGGAAAGGCCCUGCUUUUGUGGGGUGCUCGAGUGGCGAACGGGUGGGUAACACGUGAUUAACCUGCCCUUGACUUUGGGAUAACUUCAGGUAACUGGGGCUACUACCGGAUAGGAGCUCCUGCUGCAUGGUGGGGGUUGGAAAGUUUCGGCGGUUGGGGAUGGACUCGCGGCUUAUCAGCUUGUUGGUGGGGUAGUGGCUUACCAAGGCUUUGACGGGUAGCCGGCCUGAGAGGGUGACCGGCCACAUUGGGACUGAGAUACGGCACAGACUCCUACGGGAGGGAGCAGUGGGGAAUAUUGCACAAUGGGCGGAAGCCUGAUGCAGUAAAGCCGCGUGCGGGAUGACGGCCUUCGGGCUGUAAACCGCUUUCGCCUGUGACGAAGCGUGAGUGACGGUAAUGGGUAAAGAAGCACCGGCUAACUACGUG